GACUCUGUGGCGCAGUGGUAGAGUGUCUGACUGCACAUCAGAAGGUUGCAUGUUCAAAUCCAUGCCAGGGUCA